rnacentral:rRNA from 1 species
CUCAGGAUGAACGCUAGCGGCAGGCUUAACACAUGCAAGUCGAGGGGCAGCGGGGAGGAAGCUUGCUUUCUCCGCCGGCGACCGGCGCACGGGUGAGUAACACGUAUGCAACCUGCCCCUGUCAGGGGACAACCCGCCGAAAGGCGGGCUAAACCCGCGUACAUGCCACCGGGGCAUCCCGGAGGCAGGAAAGGCUUCGGCCGGACAGGGAUGGGCAUGCGGCGCAUUAGGCAGUAGGCGGGGUAACGGCCCACCUAACCGACGAUGCGUAGGGGUUCUGAGAGGAAGGUCCCCCACACUGGUACUGAGACACGGACCAGACUCCUACGGGAGGCAGCAGUGAGGAAUAUUGGUCAAUGGUCGGGAGACUGAACCAGCCAAGCCGCGUGAGGGAUGAAGGUACGGAGUAUCGUAAACCUCUUUUGUCAGGGAACAAAGGCGGGGACGUGUCCCCGGAUGAGUGUACCUGAAGAAAAAGCGUCGGCUAACUCCGUGCCAGCAGCCGCGGUAAUACGGAGGAUGCGAGCGUUAUCCGGAUUUAUUGGGUUUAAAGGGUGCGCAGGCGGUCUGUUAAGUCAGCGGUCAAAGCCCGGGGCUCAACCCCGGCCCGCCGUUGAAACUGGCAGUCUCGAGUUGGAGAGAAGUAUGCGGAAUGCGCGGUGUAGCGGUGAAAUGCAUAGAUAUCGCGCAGAACUCCGAUUGCGAAGGCAGCAUGCCGGCUCCACACUGACGCUGAGGCACGAAAGCGUGGGUAUCGAACAGGAUUAGAUACCCUGGUAGUCCACGCAGUAAACGAUGAAUGCUGGCUGUCCGGGGGGACUGACCCCUGGGUGGCGAAGCGAAAGCGAUAAGCAUUCCACCUGGGGAGUACGCCGGCAACGGUGAAACUCAAAGGAAUUGACGGGGGCCCGCACAAGCGGAGGAACAUGUGGUUUAAUUCGAUGAUACGCGAGGAACCUUACCCGGGCUCAAACGGGGAGUGACUCAGGCAGAGACGCCUGUUUCCCACGGGACACUCCCCGAGGUGCUGCAUGGUUGUCGUCAGCUCGUGCCGUGAGGUGUCGGCUUAAGUGCCAUAACGAGCGCAACCCCCGCGUGCAGUUGCUAACAGUCAACGCUGAGGACUCUGCACGGACUGCCGGCGCAAGCCGCGAGGAAGGCGGGGAUGACGUCAAAUCAGCACGGCCCUUACGUCCGGGGCGACACACGUGUUACAAUGGGUGGUACAGCGGGAAGCCAGGCGGCGACGCCGAGCGGAACCCGAAAUCCACUCUCAGUUCGGAUCGGAGUCUGCAACCCGACUCCGUGAAGCUGGAUUCGCUAGUAAUCGCGCAUCAGCCAUGGCGCGGUGAAUACGUUCCCGGGUCUUGUACACACCGCCCGUCAAGCCAUGGGAGCCGAGGGCGCUUGAAGUGCGUCGCCGCGAGGCGCGCCCUAGAGCGAAAUCGGUGACUGGGGCUAAGUCGUAACAAGGUA